GACGAACGCUGGCGGCGUGCCUAAUACAUGCAAGUCGAACGAGAGCGCCCGGUGCUUGCACUGGUCAAUCUAGUGGCGAACGGGUGAGUAACACGUGGGUAACCUGCCCAUCAGAGGGGGAUAACAUCCGGAAACGGAUGCUAAAACCGCAUAGGUCUUCGAACCGCAUGGUUUGAAGAGGAAAAGAGGCGCACGCUUCUGCUGAUGGAUGGACCCGCGGUGCAUUAGCUAGUUGGUGAGGUAACGGCUCACCAAGGCCGUGAUGCAUAGCCGACCUGAGAGGGUGAUCGGCCACAUUGGGACUGAGACACGGCCCAAACUCCUACGGGAGGCAGCAGUAGGGAAUCUUCCGCAAUGGACGCAAGUCUGACGGAGCAACGCCGCGUGAGUGAAGAAGGUGUUCGGAUCGUAAAACUCUGUUGUUAGAGAAGAACAAGUGCUAGAGUAACUGUUAGCGCCUUGACGGUAUCUAACCAGAAAGCCACGGCUAACUACGUG
rnacentral:rRNA from 1 species